rnacentral:rRNA from 1 species
AUUGAACGCUGGCGGCAGGCUUAACACAUGCAAGUCGAGCGGAGAUGAGGUGCUUGCACCUUAUCUUAGCGGCGGACGGGUGAGUAAUGCUUAGGAAUCUGCCUAUUAGUGGGGGACAACAUUCCGAAAGGAAUGCUAAUACCGCAUACGUCCUACGGGAGAAAGCAGGGGAUCUUCGGACCUUGCGCUAAUAGAUGAGCCUAAGUCGGAUUAGCUAGUUGGUGGGGUAAAGGCCUACCAAGGCGACGAUAUGUAGCGGGUCUGAGAGGAUGAUCCGCCACACUGGGACUGGGACACGGCCCAGACUCCUACGGGAGGCAGCAGUGGGGAAUAUUGGACAAUGGGGGGAACCCUGAUCCAGCCAUGCCGCGUGUGUGAAGAAGGCCUUAUGGUUGUAAAGCACUUUAAGCGAGGAGGAGGCUACUGAGACUAAUACUCUUGGAUAGUGGACGUUACUCGCAGAAUAAGCACCGGCUAACUCUGUGCCAGCAGCCGCCGUAAUAC